UAGAUGCGAGAGUAGAGCAUAUCAAUAAGCGGAGGAAAAGAAACUAACUAGGAUUCCCUUAGUAACGGCGAGUGAAGCGGGAAGAGCUCAAAUUUGAAAUCUUCAAGGUUCUACCUUGACGAAUUGUAGUUUAUAGAAGUGUUUUCUGUUAGUAGAGUGGCAAAAGUUCUUUGGAAUAGGACAUCAUAGAGGGUGAGAAUCCCGUAUUUGGUCAUUCUUUCUAGCUUUGUGAUACACUUUCAACGAGUCGGAUUGUUUGGGAAUGCAGUCCAAAAUGGGUGGUAAAUUUCAUCUAAAGCUAAAUAUUGGCGAGAGACCGAUAGCGAACAAGUACCGUGAGGGAAAGAUGAAAAGAACUUUGAAAAGAGAGUUAAACAGUACGUGAAAUUGUCAGAAGGGAAGCGUUUGACACCAGUGUUGUUUUUCCGAAAAUCAAUUACGAAUGUUUUAUUUUUGAGAAGUUAUGACUUCAUCGGCUUGCUUCUCUCUUUAUGAAACUUUCUUAAUGCACUUUUCGGUUAACAAGUCAACAUCAAUUUCUUUUGUUGUAAAAGAGUCAUUGAGGAAGGUGGCUUUCUUUUCGGAGAAAGUGUUUAUAGCCUUUGACUUCUGCAAUCGGAGAGAUUGAGGUCUGCAGCGUAGAUCCUUCGGGGUUAGAUACAUUUGUGCUAAGUUAUAGCCUUUCAUAGACAACUUGUUGACUAUGAUCAGUCAUGUAGCUUACUCGCUUAUGUGCUAUUUUACCUACGCUUAGGAUGUUGACGAGACUGUCGAUCUC
rnacentral:rRNA from 1 species